UACGAAGGGGGCUAGCGUUGUUCGGAAUUACUGGGCGUAAAGGGCGCGUAGGCGGUGUGUCAAGUCAGGCGUGAAAGCCCCGGGCUCAACCUGGGAACCGCGCUUGAGACUGGCACGCUCGAGUCCGGGAGAGGAUGGUGGAAUUCCCAGUGUAGAGGUGAAAUUCGUAGAUAUUGGGAAGAACACCGAUGGCGAAGGCAGCCAUCUGGACCGGCACUGACGCUGAGGCGCGAAAGCCAGGGGAGCAAACGGG
rnacentral:rRNA from 1 species